UACAGAGGUCUCAAGCGUUGUUCGGAUUCAUUGGGCGUAAAGGGUGCGUAGGUGGCGCCGUAAGUCGGGUGUGAAAUUUCGGAGCUUAACUCCGAAACUGCAUUCGAUACUGCGGUGCUUGAGGACUGGAGAGGAGACUGGAAUUCAUGGUGUAGCAGUGAAAUGCGUAGAGAUCAUGAGGAAGACCAGUGGCGAAGGCGGGUCUCUGGACAGUUCCUGACACUGAGGUACGAAGGCCAGGGGAGCAAACGGG
rnacentral:rRNA from 1 species